UACGGAGGGUGCAAGCGUUUAAUCGGAAUUACUGGGCGUAAAGCGCACGUAGGUGGUUUUCUAAGUCAGCUGUGAAAUCCCCGGGCUCAACCUGGGACUUGCAGUUGAAACUGGGAAGCUAGAGUAGGGUAGAGGGGUGUGGAAUUCCAGGUGUAGCGGUGAAAUGCGUAGAUAUCAGGAGGAACACCCGAGGCGAAGGCGGCUCUCUGGGUCGUACCUGACGCUGAGGCGCGAAAGCUAGGGGAGCAAACAGG
rnacentral:rRNA from 1 species